rnacentral:rRNA from 1 species
CUUGAUAGCCCCUUACACCCGCUAUCCGCCAGGGUACUACGAGCACUAGCUUAAAACCCAAAGGACUUGGCGGUGCUUUAGAUCCACCUAGAGGAGCCUGUUCUAGAACCGAUAACCCCCGUUAAACCUCACCCUCCCUUGCUCUUCCCGCCUAUAUACCGCCGUCGUCAGCUUACCCUGUGAGGGUAUAAUAGUAAGCAAAACCAGUAUAACUUAAAACGUCAGGUCGAGGUGUAGCAUAUGAGAGGGGAAGAAAUGGGCUACAUUCCCUAAAGCAGGGAAUACGGAUAAUAUAAUGAAACAUGUAUUAUAAAGGAGGAUUUAGUAGUAAGCAGAAAAUAGAGUG